CCUACGGGGGGCAGCAGUGGGGAAUAUUGGACAAUGGGGGGAACCCUGAUCCAGCCAUGCCGCGUGUGUGAAGAAGGCCCUCGGGUUGUAAAGCACUUUCAGUGAGGAAGAACGCCUGGUGGUUAAUACCCAUCAGGAAAGACAUCACUCACAGAAGAAGCACCGGCUAUCUCCGUGCCAGCAGCCGCGGUAAUACGGAGGGUGCGAGCGUUAAUCGGAAUUACUGGGCGUAAAGCGCGCGUAGGUGGCUUGAUAAGCCGGUUGUGAAAGCCCCGGGCUCAACCUGGGAACGGCAUCCGGAACUGUCAAGCUAGAGUGCAGGAGAGGAAGGUAGAAUUCCCGGUGUAGCGGUGAAAUGCGUAGAGAUCGGGAGGAAUACCAGUGGCGAAGGCGGCCUUCUGGACUGACACUGACACUGAGGUGCGAAAGCGUGGGUAGCAAACAGGAUUAGAUACCCUUGUAGUC
rnacentral:rRNA from 1 species